UGGGGGAUCGUCUAGCGGUAGGACGGCAGACUCUGGAUCUGCUAGCCCUGGUUCGAAUCCAGGUCCCCCAGCCA
rnacentral:tRNA from 1 species